AUUGAACGCUGGCGGCAGGCUUAACACAUGCAAGUCGAGCGAGCGGCGGACGGGUGAGUAAUGUCUGGGAAACUGCCUGAUGGAGGGGUAUAACUACUGGAAACGGUCGCUAAUACCGCAUACCCUCAGAUGUGCCCAGAUGGGAUUAUCUAGUAGGUGGGGUAAUGGCUCACCUAGGCAACGAUCCCUAGCUGGUCUGAGAGGAUGACCAGACACACGGGAACUGAGACACGGUCCAGACGCCUACGGGAGGCAGCAGUGGGGAAUAGUGCACAAUGGGCGCAAGCCGGAUGCAGCCAUGACGCGUGUGUGAAGAAGGCCUUCGGGUUGUAAAGCACUUUCAGCGGGGAGGCGUUACUCGCAGAAGAAGCACCGGCUAACUCCGUGCCAGCAGCCGCGGUAAUAC
rnacentral:rRNA from 1 species